rnacentral:lncRNA from 1 species
UAAACAAACUGCACUUUUAAUUCGUUUUAUUUAUUUACAUCUUUAUGUUUACAUUUCUUAACAUCAUCUUUUAUAGCUUUCAUAUACACACGGACGUAAACAGCCGUUGCUCUCUUUCUGACGAUACCUUCGAUUUCUAGAUUGGACUUUUCCCUCCAUUUUUUUCUCACAUCAUUCCAUUGAGUUUUCUUGCGGGUGUAUCACAGUUACACUUCAUUUCCUUCAAUGAGACAGACUUAAACCAUGUCAGAACCAGUCCAAGCGUCUACUAUGUGCAAUGAAACAAACCAAAGCCCAUGUCGCACAGGGUCCGAAAACCCUGAAAACACCAUGUUGUUGCAACGACCGGCCCCUAUUAAGUGUCAAGACAUAAACCACGUGCUGACGUCGGCGUUGAGGGACAUCCUUAGCAAAGACAAACUGUGCAUGACAACGGUGGAGAAUCUCAUCACUUCAAAGGGCAGCAAGGACCCCUACCAUGAGAAAUAUGUAGAAUGGCUGAACCAGGUUUGUUGAGUGU